GUGAAUCAUCGAAUUUUUGAACGCAAAGGGAAAGGGGGGGGAGUCAGGAAAGUAUGCCUGUUUGAGGGUCAGUUAAAUAAAAAUCGGUGUUGUUGCUGCUUUUCGUGGGGACACGUCGGAAUUGAGUUGUCUUACCUUCGGUUAAGUGACUUAAAAUUUUGCAUGAUUUUCGAACGUAUUUAAAUUUCUUACGUACGUUUGAGAUAUCGAAGACUGUAUUAGGUUCGGUCAUGAUCAUGAGGAGAAACUAUAAUUGUUCAUUAAAGGAAGUCAAAUCAGGUAAGAAUACCCGCUGAACUUA
rnacentral:misc_RNA from 1 species